rnacentral:rRNA from 1 species
AACGAACGCUGGCGGCAGGCCUAACACAUGCAAGUCGAGCGAGAUCUUCGGGUCUAGCGGCGGAAGGUUGCGUAACGCGUGGGAAUAUUCCUCUUGGUACGGAAUAGCCUCGGGAAACUGGGAGUAAUACCGUAUGUGCCCUUUGUGGUAAAGAUUUAUCGCCAAGAGAUUAGCCCGCGUUGGAUUAGGUAGUUGGUGGGGUAAUGGCCUACCAAGCCGACGAUCCAUAGCUGGUUUGAGAGGAUGAUCAGCCACACUGGGACUGAGACACGGCCCAGACUCCUACGGUAGGCAGCAGUGGGGAAUCUUAGACAAUGGGGGCAACCCUGAUCUAGCCAUGCCGCGUGAGUGAUGAAGGCCUUAGGGUUGUAAAGCUCUUUCAGCUGGGAAGAUAAUGACGGUACCAGCAGAAGAAGCCCCGGCUAACUCCGUG